rnacentral:rRNA from 1 species
CCUGACCGUGCAAAGGUAGCAUAAUCAUUUGUUCUUUAAAUAAGGACUCGUAUCAACGGCAUUACGAGGGUUAUACUGUCUCCUUUUUCCAAUCAGUGAAACUGACCUCCCCGUGAAGAGGCGGGGAUAUAAAUACAAGACGAGAAGACCCCAUGGAGCUUUAAACCCAAUAUGUUUAUUGGUUUUAGGUUGGGGUGACCACGGAGUAAAAAUUAACCUCCUCUUUAUCUAAGAGCAACUACUCGAAGAAUCAAAAACUUGACGCCACAUGAUCCCAACGAACCAAGUUACCCUGGGGAUAACAGCGCAAUCCAUUUUAAGAGCUCCUAUCGACAAAUGGGUUUACGACCUCGAUGUUGGAUCAGGGUAUCCCAGUGGUGCAGCCGCUACUAAAGGUUUGUUUGUUCAACUGAGU